rnacentral:rRNA from 1 species
GAUGAACGCUGGCGGCGUGCCUAAUACAUGCAAGUCGAGCGAACAGAUGAGGAGCUUGCUCCUCUGACGUUAGCGGCGGACGGGUGAGUAACACGUGGAUAACCUACCUAUAAGACUGGGAUAACUUCGGGAAACCGGAGCUAAUACCGGAUAAUAUAUUGAACCGCAGGGUUCAAUAGUGAAAGACGGUUUUGCUGUCACUUAUAGAUGGAUCCGCGCCGCAUUAGCUAGUUGGUAAGGUAACGGCUUACCAAGGCAACGAUGCGUAGCCGACCUGAGAGGGUGAUCGGCCACACUGGAACGGAGACACGGUCCAGACUCCUGCGGGAGGCAGCAGUAGGGAAUCUUCCGCAAUGGGCGAAAGCCUGACGGAGCAACGCCGCGUGAGUGAUGAAGGUCUUCGGAUCGUAAAACUCUGUUAUUAGGGAAGAACAAAUGUGUAAGUAACUAUGCACGUCUUGACGGUACCUAAUCAGAAAGCCACGGCUAACUACGUG